rnacentral:rRNA from 1 species
AGGACGAACGCUGGCGGCGUGCCUAACACAUGCAAGUCGAGCGAGGAGAUCCUCGGGAUGAUCCUAGCGGCGGACGGGUGAGUAACACGUGGGCAACCUGCCUCAUAGAGAGGAAUAGCCUUCCGAAAGGGAGAUUAAUACCUCAUAACAUUGCAGUUUCGCAUGGAACAGCAAUUAAAGGAGUAAUCCGCUAUGAGAUGGGCCCGCGGCGCAUUAGCUAGUUGGUGAGGUAACGGCUCACCAAGGCGACGAUGCGUAGCCGACCUGAGAGGGUGAUCGGCCACAUUGGGACUGAGACACGGCCCAGACUCCUACGGGAGGCAGCAGUGGGGAAUAUUGCACAAUGGGGGAAACCCUGAUGCAAGCAACGCCGCGUGAGUGAUGACGGCCUUCGGGUUGUAAAGCUCUGUCUUCAGGGACGAUAAUGACGGUACCUGAGGAGGAAGCCACGGCUAACUACGUGCCAGCAGCGGC